rnacentral:misc_RNA from 1 species
GAUGAAGAACGGUAGCGAAAUGCGAUAAGUAAUGUGAAUUGCAGAAUUCAGUGAAUCAUCGAAUCUUUGAACGCACAUUGCGCCCGCCAGUAUUCUGGCGGGCAUGCCUGUUCGAGCGUCAUUUCAACCAUCAAGCCCCCGGCUUGUGUUGGGGACCUGCGGCUGCCGCAGGCCCUGAAAACCAGUGGCGGGCUCGCUAGUCACUCCGAGCGUAGUAAUACAUCUCGCUCAGGGCGUGCUGCGGGUUCCGGCCGUUAAAAAGCCUUAUUUACCCAAGGUUGACCUCGGAUCAGGUAGGAAGACCCGCUGAACUUAAGCAUAUCAAUAAGCGGAGGA